AGAAUCAACGCUGGCGGCGUGCCUAACACAUGCAAGUCGAACGAGAAAGUGGAGCAAUCCAUGAGUAAAGUGGCGCACGGGUGAGUAACACGUGACUAACCUACCCUUGAGUGGGGGAUAACCUAGGGAAACCUGGGCUAAUACCGCAUAAUACCUUCGGGUCAAAGGAGCAAUUCGCUUAAGGAGGGGGUCGCGGCCGAUUAGUUAGUUGGCGGGGUAAUGGCCCACCAAGACUGUGAUCGGUAUCCGGCCUGAGAGGGCGCACGGACACACUGGGACUGAGACACGGCCCAGACUCCUACGGGAGGCAGCAGUGGGGAAUCUUGCGCAAUGGGCGAAAGCCUGACGCAGCAACGCCGCGUGAGGGAUGAAGGUCUUCGGGUUGUAAACCUCUUUCGAGCAGGGACGAUUGUGACGGUACCUGCAGAAGAAGCUCCGGCCAACUACGCGCCAGCAGCCGC
rnacentral:rRNA from 1 species